ensembl:lncRNA CENPN-AS1 CENPN antisense RNA 1
CUGCUGAGCCUGCAACUCGACUGUUCUGUUUGAGGAGCUCUGUGCUUUAUCAUAGAAAUGGAUCUGAGGUGGGGUGUUGCUUUGUCUUGUGAUCGCAGCUCACGGCAGCCUUGGACUCGUGGGCACGAGCAAUCCUCCCACUUCAGCCUCCCAAGUAGCUGGGACCACAGAAGCGGUGUAUUGCGCCUCAGCAUGGAGGAGGACGUGAAGGCGUACGGAGUCUGGGAGUAGUACACCACGUAGAAUGCCACAUUAAUCUGGCACGACAGGGAAUGCUGUGCCCCACAGGACCCACAUUUGAGCCAGCUGUUCCUCUGCCUGGAGCCUCUUCUCCUAGCUCCUUACACACCCUACUCCCCACCUCAUUCUGCUCUCUACUCAGAGUAGUCCCCGCCCGGAUCACCCUACCCCAAACACCCUGCGUUAGUUCCCAGUUCCUGUCGGAGGACUCAUCACUACCUGAUGUCACAUUAUGUAUGUAUGUAUG